GACGAACGCUGGCGGCGUGCUUAACACAUGCAAGUCGAACGGAAAGGCCUCUUUCGGGGGGUACUCGAGUGGCGAACGGGUGAGUAACACGUGAGUAACCUGCCCUUGACUUUGGGAUAACUUCAGGAAACUGGGGCUAAUACUGGAUAGGAGCUCCUGCUGCAUGGUGGGGGUUGGAAAGUUUCGGCGGUUGGGGAUGGACUCGCGGCUUAUCAGCUUGUUGGUGGGGUAGUGGCUUACCAAGGCUUUGACGGGUAGCCGGCCUGAGAGGGUGACCGGCCACAUUGGGACUGAGAUACGGCCCAGACUCCUACGGGAGGCAGCAGUGGGGAAUAUUGCACAAUGGGUGGAAGCCUGAUGCAGCAACGCCGUGUGCGGGAUGACGGCCUUCGGGUUGUAAACCGCUUUCGCUCAUGACGAAGCUUUGUGUGACGGUAGUGGGUAAAGAAGCACCGGCUAACUACGUG
rnacentral:rRNA from 1 species